rnacentral:rRNA from 1 species
CGCGGCCUAUCAGCUUGUUGGUGAGGUAACGGCUCACCAAGGCAACGACGGGUAGCUGGUCUGAGAGGACGAUCAGCCACACUGGGACUGAGACACGGCCCAGACUCCUACGGGAGGCAGCAGCAGGGAAUAUUGCACAAUGGGCGCAAGCCUGAUGCAGCGACGCCGCGUGAGGGAUGAAGGCCUUCGGGUUGUAAACCUCUUUCAGGAGGGAAGAAGCGAAAGUGACGGUACCUCCAGAAGAAGCCCCGGCCAACUACGUGCCAGCAGCCGCGGUAAUACGUAGGGGGCAAGCGUUGUCCGGAUUCAUUGGGCGUAAAGAGCUCGUAGGCGGCUCAGUAAGUCGGCCGUGAAAGCCCGAGGCUCAACCUCGGGACGCCGGUCGAUACUGCUGUGGCUAGGGUCCGGUAGAGGAGAGUGGAAUUCCUGGUGUAGCGGUGAAAUGCGCAGAUAUCGGGAGGAACACCAGUAGCGAAGGCGGCUCUCUGGGCCGGUACCGACGCUGAGGAGCGAAAGCUAGAGGAGCAAACAGGAUUAGAUACCCUGGUAGUCCUAGCCGUAAACGUUGGGCACUAGGUGUGGGUUCCAUCCACGGGAUCCGUGCCGUAGCUAACGCAUUAAGUGCCCCGCCUGGGGAGUACGG